GCCCGGGUGGCGGAACUGGCAGACGCACGGGACUUAAAAUCCCGGGUCGCGGAAGCGACGUACCGGUUCGAUUCCGGUCCCGGGCACCA
rnacentral:tRNA from 1 species